AAGUCGUAACAAGGUUUCCGUAGGUGAACCUGCGGAAGGAUCAUUACCGUUGGGGCUCCGGCCCCAAUCAAGAUACCACCCCUUGCAUUUUGAGUACCCUCUGUUUCCUCGGCGGGCUCGCCCGCCAACGGGGACCACACCAAACCCUUCUGUAGUUGCAGUAAGCGUCUUAAAACAAAAAAAAAAUCAAAACUUUCAACAACGGAUCUCUUGGUUCUGGCAUCGAUGAAGAACGCAGCGAAAUGCGAUAAGUAGUGUGAAUUGCAGAAUUCAGUGAAUCAUCGAAUCUUUGAACGCACAUUGCGCCCUUUGGUAUUCCUUAGGGCAUGCCUGUUCGAGCGUCAUCUAACCCCCUCAAGCACUGCUUGGUGUUGGGCGCCUUGUCCCGCCUCGGGCGUGGACUCGCCUCAAAAGUAUUGGCGGCCUGUGUAUUGGCUUCGAGCGCAGCAGACUCGCGCCUCGCAAACCCAUGGCACGGGCGUCCAUCAAGACGCACCCCAAAGUUUGACCUCGGAUCAGGUAGGGAUACCCGCUGAACUUAA
rnacentral:rRNA from 1 species